rnacentral:lncRNA from 1 species
GUUUAACUGAUGCUAAAUAUUUUUGACUUUUAUAUAUUAUUUUGUAUGGUUUACCUAAAAAAUCUAGUCUUCCAUUCAUUUAUCUUACAAGUGUAUAUAGUUUAGAUGAAGGGUUAUUCAUGCAGUGCAUAUGUAUAUAUUUAAUAUUAAAAACAACUGCCAGCAUUGAAUUGUGUAUUCUAAUGCAAUUAUUUUGUAUCAAUGGUUCUGAUUGGAUGACAGUUAGCGUAAAAUUCUUUAUCUCCUUGUCUGUAACUAAGGAAGCCGUCCUUUUGAAUUGCUGAAUGUAUUGACAUGUAAUUUCUACAAUAAUAAGCCAAAAAACUCACAUGUUGCACCUAAAAAUCUUCUUUUUAUCAAAUUUUAUUACAUUCUGAAGCGGCACAGAAGCCAGAAAACGGCCGGUGUUUAUGUUUGACGCCGGAAGCAUACCUAUGACGUCACCUAGUUAAGGGACCAAAGAAGAUAACAGCUUUUCGCGGAAUUUUCUUCAAUGAAGAUUUUACACUGAAAUAAUGAUUGAAAUUUAAUUGUGAAUUUGUUUUGCAUUAGAAUAGUGAUAACUGUGUACACGUCGCCAGGUAAACUAAAUUUGCGACAAUAAAAGUACCGAUGGACGUCCUUCAAGCUUCAAAUACAAUACAGUUAUCUCUUAAUUAGUAGUGCCUGUUGUAUUUUGAAAUAUAUCAUUUCAGAGUAGUUGCCAAACUCGUCAUGAUAACAUACCAUUUAGAUAGGCUAAGAUGAAACUUUAGAAAUGUUUUUAUUUUGUUUUAUAAUAUUAGCAUUUACUAUUUUACGAUAUAUUCUACUUAUUAUCUGCAUGACAAUCUAUAUCACAUGGUUUUGAUGUAUGUCAGGGAUAUGCAUCUAUACCACAUUUAAUUAUAUGGGAAUGGUUAUUAUAAAUGCUAUAUACAUGUACAUACGACAUACAUGUCUAAUAAUUAUAUUUGGGAAAGCAGUGCUUGUUUAUAUCAAUAAUUUAAGUACCCUUAUUAUUUUAGUAUCACUUUAAUUGAGUUUUGAAGGCAGCUCUUUGAAUUUAAUAUACAAUCAGGUAAAUUAUGCUUUAAAAAUGUAUUUGAGUAAAUUUUUGCUAUGUAAAGAUUUCUGAGGGAAUAUCUUGGAAGGUGGCAUAACUUUUUUGGACUUUAUAGCCCUACUAGAAAUGACUUGUAUUCUAAAAGAUCCAAUAAUUAUGCAAUAAAGCAUUUGAAAAAGUUACUGAUGUCAAUGCUAUCACGGUUGACUGAUACAACAGAUUGUCAUUGAGUAUAUUACACAUACAAUUUAUUAAUAUUUCCUCUAAGUAUAUAAUAAAUGCAUUAUACACAUGUCUAAUAAGUCCAAUUUUAAUUAAUAUGUAACAUAAUAAGUUGUGUUUCUUCUCCUUUUUAAAAUGCUGUAUUACUUUGUUCCUACAUUAUUUUUCCAGUGUAAUUUACUUCGACACAUAUUUCACACACGAUGGUGUGAAAAAUUAAAGUUUUUAUAGAUUGUUGUUGCAUAAUAGCUGUGAACAAAUAUUUGUAAAUCAUAAAACUUUUUUAAUGCACAAAUUCAGGGAAAGCAUUGUAAAAGAGACAAAUGUGUUUGUUUUGAAGUUGAAAUUAUGUUAAUUUUGAAUCUCAGUGUAUAGUUUUGUAUAGAUGAAUUCAUAUUACCGUACACUUUUUGUUUUAGUGCUAAAC